rnacentral:rRNA from 1 species
AUUGAACGCUGGCGGCAGGCCUAACACAUGCAAGUCGAGCGAGCGGCGGACGGGUGAAUAAUGUAUGGGUAUCUGCCCUAUAGAGGGGGAUAAAUACUGGACACUGUGGCUAAUACCGCAUACUAUCGGAUGACCCCAUAUGGUAAUAGCUAGUAGGUGGGGUAAAGGCUCACCUAGGCGACGAUCUCUCGCUGGUCUGAGAGGAUGAUCAGCCACACUGGGACUGAGACACGGCCCAGACUCCUACGGGAGGCAGCAGUGGGGAAUAUUGCACAAUGGGCGCAAGCCUGAUGCAGCCAUGCCGCGUGUAUGAAGAAGGCCUUAGGGUUGUAAAGUACUUUCAGCGGGGAGGCGUUACCCGCAGAAGAAGCACCGGCUAACUCCGUGCCAGCAGCCGCGGUAAUUC